rnacentral:rRNA from 1 species
UACAGAGGGUGCAAGCGUUAAUCGGAAUUACUGGGCGUAAAGGGCGUGUAGGUGGAUUUGUAAGUUUGAUGUGAAAGCCCCGGGCUUAACCUGGGAACUGCGUUGAAGACUGCAAGACUAGAGUUGGACAGAGGGUAGUGGAAUUUCCGGUGUAGCGGUGAAAUGCGUAGAGAUCGGAAAGAACACCCGUGGCGAAGGCGGCUACCUGGGUCCAAACUGACACUGAGGCGCGAAAGCGUGGGGAGCGAACAGG